UGUAACACUUUCAAUUGUCCUGCACAUGAAAGAUUCCAUACAAAUAAACUUGCGUUGCCUUGCUUAAAAUACGUCAUUUUACUGGCAGU